GCCGGAGUGGUGAAACUGGCAGACGCGCGGGACUCAAAAUCCCGUGACCGCAAGGUCGUGAGGGUUCGAUUCCCUCCUCCGGCACCA
rnacentral:tRNA from 1 species